rnacentral:rRNA from 1 species
UUAAGUGACUAAGCGUACACGGUGGAUGCCUGGGCAGUCAGAGGCGAUGAAGGACGUACUAACUUGCGAUAAGCGCAGAUAAGGCAGUAAGAGCCGUUUGAGUCUGCGAUUUCCGAAUGGGGAAACCCAACUGCAUAAGCAGUUACUGUUAACUGAAUACAUAGGUUAACAGAGCAAACCGGGGGAACUGAAACAUCUAAGUACCCCGAGGAGAAGAAAUCAACCGAGAUUCCGGUAGUAGCGGCGAGCGAACCUGGAUUAGCCCUUAAGCACUCGGUGAAGUAGGUGAACAAGCUGGAAAGCUUGGCGAUACAGGGUGAUAGCCCCGUAACCGACGCUUCAUCGAGCGUGAAAUCGAGUAGGGCGGGACACGUGAUAUCCUGUCUGAAUAUGGGGGGACCAUCCUCCAAGGCUAAAUACUCCUGACUGACCGAUAGUGAACCAGUACCGUGAGGGAAAGGCGAAAAGAACCCCUGUGAGGGGAGUGAAAUAGAACCUGAAACCGUGUACGUACAAGCAGUAGGAGCACCUUCGUGGUGUGACUGCGUACCUUUUGUAUAAUGGGUCAGCGACUUAUAUUCAGUGGCAAGGUUAACCGUAUAGGGGAGCCGUAGCGAAAGCGAGUCUUAACUGGGCGUUCAGUCUCUGGAUAUAGACCCGAAACCGGGUGAUCUAGCCAUGGGCAGGUUGAAGGUUGAGUAACAUCAACUGGAGGACCGAACCGACUAAUGUUGAAAAAUUAGCGGAUGACUUGUGGCUAGGGGUGAAAGGCCAAUCAAACUCGGAGAUAGCUGGUUCUCCCCGAAAGCUAUUUAGGUAGCGCCUCGGACGAAUACUACUGGGGGUAGAGCACUGUUAAGGCUAGGGGGUCAUCCCGACUUACCAACCCUUUGCAAACUCCGAAUACCAGUAAGUACUAUCCGGGAGACACACGGCGGGUGCUAACGUCCGUCGUGGAGAGGGAAACAACCCAGACCGCCAGCUAAGGUCCCAAAGUAUUGCUAAGUGGGAAACGAUGUGGGAAGGCUCAGACAGCUAGGAUGUUGGCUUAGAAGCAGCCAUCAUUUAAAGAAAGCGUAAUAGCUCACUAGUCGAGUCGGCCUGCGCGGAAGAUGUAACGGGGCUAAGCAAUACACCGAAGCUGCGGCAAUAUCUUUUAGAUAUUGGGUAGGGGAGCGUUCUGUAAGCCGUUGAAGGUGAAUCGUAAGGUUUGCUGGAGGUAUCAGAAGUGCGAAUGCUGACAUGAGUAACGACAAAGGGGGUGAAAAACCUCCUCGCCGGAAGACCAAGGGUUCCUGUCCAACGUUAAUCGGGGCAGGGUGAGUCGACCCCUAAGGUGAGGCCGAAAGGCGUAAUCGAUGGGAAACGGGUUAAUAUUCCCGUACUUCUGACUAUUGCGAUGGGGGGACGGAGAAGGCUAGGUGGGCCAGGCGACGGUUGUCCUGGUUCAAGUGCGUAGGCUUGAGAGUUAGGUAAAUCCGGCUCUCUUUAAGGCUGAGACACGACGUCGAGCUGCUACGGCAGUGAAGUCAUUGAUGCCAUGCUUCCAGGAAAAGCCUCUAAGCUUCAGAUAGUCAGGAAUCGUACCCCAAACCGACACAGGUGGUCGGGUAGAGAAUACCAAGGCGCUUGAGAGAACUCGGGUGAAGGAACUAGGCAAAAUGGUACCGUAACUUCGGGAGAAGGUACGCUCUUGAUGGUGAAGUCCCUCGCGGAUGGAGCUGACGAGAGUCGCAGAUACCAGGUGGCUGCAACUGUUUAUUAAAAACACAGCACUGUGCAAAAUCGCAAGAUGACGUAUACGGUGUGACGCCUGCCCGGUGCCGGAAGGUUAAUUGAUGGGGUUAGCGCAAGCGAAGCUCUUGAUCGAAGCCCCGGUAAACGGCGGCCGUAACUAUAACGGUCCUAAGGUAGCGAAAUUCCUUGUCGGGUAAGUUCCGACCUGCACGAAUGGCGUAAUGAUGGCCACGCUGUCUCCACCCGAGACUCAGUGAAAUUGAAAUCGCUGUGAAGAUGCAGUGUACCCGCGGCUAGACGGAAAGACCCCGUGAACCUUUACUACAGCUUGGCACUGAACAUUGAACCUACAUGUGUAGGAUAGGUGGGAGGCUAUGAAGACGUGACGCCAGUUGCGUUGGAGCCGUCCUUGAAAUACCACCCUUGUAUGUUUGAUGUUCUAACUUAGACCCGUUAUCCGGGUUGAGGACAGUGCCUGGUGGGUAGUUUGACUGGGGCGGUCUCCUCCCAAAGAGUAACGGAGGAGCACGAAGGUGGGCUAAUCACGGUUGGACAUCGUGAGGUUAGUGCAAUGGCAUAAGCCCGCUUAACUGCGAGAAUGACGGUUCGAGCAGGUGCGAAAGCAGGUCAUAGUGAUCCGGUGGUUCUGUAUGGAAGGGCCAUCGCUCAACGGAUAAAAGGUACUCCGGGGAUAACAGGCUGAUACCGCCCAAGAGUUCAUAUCGACGGCGGUGUUUGGCACCUCGAUGUCGGCUCAUCACAUCCUGGGGCUGAAGUCGGUCCCAAGGGUAUGGCUGUUCGCCAUUUAAAGUGGUACGCGAGCUGGGUUUAGAACGUCGUGAGACAGUUCGGUCCCUAUCUGCCGUGGGCGUUGGAAGAUUGAAGGGGGCUGCUCCUAGUACGAGAGGACCGGAGUGGACGAACCUCUGGUGUUCGGGUUGUGUCGCCAGACGCAUUGCCCGGUAGCUAAGUUCGGAAUUGAUAAGCGCUGAAAGCAUCUAAGCGCGAAGCGAGCCCUGAGAUGAGUCUUCCCUGA